rnacentral:rRNA from 1 species
UACGAAGGGGGCUAGCGUUGCUCGGAAUGACUGGGCGUAAAGGGCGCGUAGGCGGAUGGUACAGUCAGAUGUGAAAUUCCCGGGCUUAACCUGGGGGCUGCAUUUGAUACGUGCGAUCUGGAGUGAGGAAGAGGGUCGUGGAAUUCCCAGUGUAGAGGUGAAAUUCGUAGAUAUUGGGAAGAACACCGGUGGCGAAGGCGGCGACCUGGUCCGAGACUGACGCUGAGGCGCGAAAGCGUGGGGAGCAAACAGG